GGAAGUAAAAGUGUAACAAGGUCUCCGUUGGUGAACCAGCGGAGGGAUCAUUACCGAGUUUACAACUCCCAAACCCCUGUGAACAUACCUAUCGUUGCCUCGGCGGUGCCCGCUCCGGCGGCCCGCCAGAGGACCCCCAAACUCUUGUUUUAUACAGUAUCUUCUGAGUAACACGAUUAAAUAAAUCAAAACUUUCAACAACGGAUCUCUUGGUUCUG
rnacentral:misc_RNA from 1 species